UACGGAGGGUGCAAGCGUUAUCCGGAUUCACUGGGUUUAAAGGGUGCGUAGGAGGGCAGGUAAGUCAGUGGUGAAAUCUCCAAGCUUAACUUGGAACUGCCGUUGAUACUAUCUGUCUUGAAUAUUGUGGAGGUGAGCGGAAUAUGUCAUGUAGCGGUGAAAUGCUUAGAUAUGACAUAGAACACCAAUUGCGAAAGGCAGCUCACUACACAAUCAUUGACUCUGAGGCACGAAAGCGUGGGGAUCAAACAGG
rnacentral:rRNA from 1 species